UGACCCCUGAAUCUGGUCUCACAAAGUCUUGAUUUCUUGGGACUCUAUUCUGACUGCGGGUUGGAGACUCUAGGGGGCAGCCACUGAGAGAUGUUCCUCGCCCCAGUGACAUUCUCCGGACCCGGGCAGAAAGGAGUGGCAGUCAGAGGACAUCAACACCACUGUCAGUGGAGAGUCAUUUGGUCUGAAAACCUCCAGAGGAUCCACAUGUGCAUCUGGUCAGCGCAGCUGGACUGGAGUUCCUGCAGGGCAUCUUUUCAAUCCCAGGAGCCCCAUCCAGUGCUUGGAACUUGGCAGAUGUCCCAUCAUUAUCAGGACAAUUAAUUAAUGAACACAUACAUGAGAGAUCUUGGAGAUCACUGACCCAAAUAUCCCAAACAAGUCUGCUUUUUCUGGACCUCUGGCUUUGUUUCUUUCUUGGAUUGGCUUGUGUGCAGACGUGUGGACAGUAGAGCACACAGCCACAAACAGGCACAUGGACUUCAGCCAGAUGCACCCGCCUUUGUGAGUCCCUGGAUCUUCGGGGCCGUGGUUUCCUGACGUCAUCCAGACAACUGUGGAGAGCAGGGUCUUGAGCAGCCGUGAAUACCAGGACGAAAGAACCACUUUUGGAUGGCAGUUUCUGUGAACAGCUCCUUUAUUUGUCGGGGAAAUGGGUUUAUAAGCAGUUGAGAGCGGGGAGAGGGUCCUAAGGGGAUUGGUGGGUUCAAAGGCUGCUAGCGGAUGCCUAGGGACGUUCAUUCCAGCACUAGGGAGAGAGUCAGGUGAUCUACAUAGUGGCGGGAAGAGGGUCCCAGGGGGAUGGGCUGGGUGAAGGCUGCUGGCUGAUAAGGAAUUUCCGAGGCAACUGGCCAAAGGUCACAAGGCAAUGGGCAAAGCCUAAGUUGAGGUGUGCUGGGCUUGGAGAGGGAGUGGCCUCCUGUAGCCUGGGGGUCCUUAGCCAUGAACCUGGCAGAUCAGGCCCAUCUCCUGAAGGUUUCACCCUGUGCCUGGCAGUGCCCGACACUCCUAAACCGGGACUGUUCGCAGUUUGGAAAACUGUUCCCCUGAGACCAAGAAACUGGUGAAAGUAAAGGUGUACU